UCGGUUAAACGGUUUAAUCGGUUGGUCCAAACAGUUUAAUAUGGGUAGCAUUGGACCGGUUCGGACCUAUAUAUAUGAACCAUUUAAAACCGAACCGAACCGGUUUAAUUCACAAUUUUACAUGCUGGCAAUUUCACAAAGGCCCUAGCCUUUUUCCAUUCAGACUCAGCAAAACACACAUUUCCUCACUUUUCUCAUCUCACGCUCUCUCACUUUCUCUUCAAGAACUGUUCAUCUUCUCAAACCCUAAUCCACCGUCGCCGCUGCAAAAACCUUAAUAUGGCAUAGAUCCUUCUUCUAAACCGUGUAUAUUGUUCACUGAACUCUUCUUCAUCAUCUUCUUUAAGAUCUCUGAUUCUUCUAAAAAACUCUAAUCAGAUGGAGCAAGGAGAUAGUAGUAGAGAAGUACCACCAGUUGGGUUGGAAAUUAUGGAGCAAGAACAACAAGACA